rnacentral:lncRNA from 1 species
GCCAAACACCCCUUACAUCACUUUCAUUUUAAUCUUCAAAAACUCAAGAAUUCAUACACUUAUGGAGGUCCAUGGAUAAAACUAGCUACAAGGGUGUUUAGAAAAGCUAUUAGGAGCCUUUUUGGUGGAACUUGAAGCUUUGGAUCAACAAGAUUUCUUAUCAUCAUCUUUAUUUCCUUGCAAAAAAAUUAUAUUGAUACUUGAUGGAGAUUAGUGGACGGCUUUGGAAAAAUAUGUUCAAGUGGUUAUCAAGAACGCAAGCUUUUGUGAUGUCAUCUGUUUUCGGUUGUUAUGUUUUGAACUUUGAAUAA